ensembl:lncRNA
AUGAGGCUGAUCAUAUCCCCUUAUGCAGCAUCAAAGGCAGCUUGCGUGUUGCUUAUUUGGCUCGAGUUCCCCCUGCUGUUUUCAAUAGAGUUGAACCUCACCGAAUACUGUCCAAGGAACAUUGGUCCAAGAUAUCAUCCAGCUGAGAACAUCACGAAUCACAAGAACUUGGGACUUUUCACCUUCUGCAAUAUCAAACCACCACCAUCUGCAUCCCAACAUGCUCCAUCUCCAACCACCUUAAGUCAGAGGAACAUGGAUCAUCCAUUCCUGAGCCAGAUCAUUAACAACCUAGGUGAAAGGCUUCAGACGUUGUGCCCUCUACUGUAAACUUCUUCAGGAGAUGAAAUCCGUCCUACACCUUGAUGUGCCGCUGAUUUUGGAGUGCUAAAGACAUUGACAUUGCCUUUCACAGUGUAUGAUUAAAUUGAAUUCUGCCUUCUCUUGAGUGGCUUUUUCACUUAAGGGGGGUAGUGAUGCAGGUCAAAUGAACAGAUCCCUUGCUGUCUGGGCAUAGUCAUGUGUGAAUUAAACGCCUCAUCACUUUGCAGAGGCAGUGUCAGCUGUGUAAGUUAAUUCUGAUGGUCUUCCCCAUUUACAACACACACACACACACACACACACACAGGAGCAGCCUGUAUAUCAAAUACAACCUGACGCACCAGCCUCAGAAGUCUAUUGUCCGGGCUUUAUUUUACGCAGCAAUGAUCUUGAGAUUACCAUAUUCUGAAUGAAAAUGUUUUUUUUUUUUAAAUAUAAUUUUCCUGCCAGAGAAUUAAUUACCGUAGUCUAUUAAUCUUAUCUGUUGGUGCAGAGGCUGUGGAUAAGAAACUGGUGAGGGAGGGAAAAAAAAGUAGCAGGAAGCAGUCAAGCUCCAAGCUCAAGCAUCUGAGAACUGGCUAAUGUUAUUUUAAGAGAGAGGCAGCACUUAGAGUUCUUUAGCAGUCACCAAGUCUAGUGGAAAAAAAACAACCUAUCUCUGCCUCUGCAUAAUUCAUUACCUAUGUGAUGAUGAUUUGCUUGGUCAGACAGACAACCAACUACCCUGGCAAUGGAAAUUUAACUUAGAUUGAUGCAGCAUACACGUGGCAUUAAUCAUGCAAGUCAGUGAGCUGAUGCCUCAUCCAGUGUUGAUAAAACAUAUUAAUCAGGCGAUGUAGUUACACUCCCACGCAAGAUACUUUGUUUUACUUUCUAAAACUAGAAGAGCACUCAGAGAGCGCAGACCUCUGCCAAGGCCAAAUGCCCUAUCUUGCAAUGGUUCAAUAUACAACAUUCAGGACAUUAAUAUAGCAGCAAAAAACUAUUUUCCUACAACCCACCCAAGUUCUCCCACACUACACCGCCGCUCCGCUCCCUUCACUGGCUACAAGUGGCGGCCCGAAUCUGCUUCAAGACUCUGGUGCUGGCCUACAGUGCUGUGAAUGGAUCAGGCCCCUCCUACAUCCAGGCCAUGGUCAAACCAAACACCCCAGUGCGUUCACUUCGCGCUGCAUCGUCCAAUCGGCUCGCUACUCCCUCACUGCGGAUGGGACUCUGAUUCCCUUCAAGAAAAACCCGCCUGUUUGCCCAUCCUGGUUCCAAAAUGGUGGAACGACCUCCCCAUUGAUGUCAGGUCAGCAGACAGUCUUCACACCUUCCGUCGCAGACUGAAAACUCACCUGUUUCCACUGCACCUCGGCAAAGAAAAACAAAAAACUUUUCUCUUUGUAUGUUGCACUUACAUUGAUUUGGCUUAUUUGUAGCUAAUAGUUGAAUUCGUAUUCUAUUGUUUCUGUAUGUUGCACUUUUGUUUGGCU